rnacentral:rRNA from 1 species
GAUGAACGCUAGCGGCAGGCUUAAUACAUGCAAGUCGAACGGUAAGCUUGGUAGCAAUACUAAGUCAAGAGUGACGUACGGGUGCGUAACACGUAUGCAACCUACCUUGUACAGGAGGAUAGCUCGGGGAAACUCGAAUUAACCCUCCAUGAGAUAGUAGUGAGGCAUCUCACAGUUAUUAAAACUCAGGUGGUACAAGAUGGGCAUGCGUCUGA